GGUGGGGUGGGGGGGUCCCUCAGCUCGGAUUGCAAGAGGGUGCAGGCCAGGCUGAGGGACCCCACCGGGGACAGG
rnacentral:pre_miRNA from 1 species